AAAUUAAGGGUAUUAGAAUACAAAGACUGUUCCCUUCUCUACGGUCCCACUUCUUGGAAAAGAAGUAUGACAAAGAUCUGGCUGGUUGUACAGCUCCCAGACUUAAGUCUUAGAAAUCUCUAUACAAUUCUCUGUUGAAGAACAGAAGUAAAACAAUUGUUGCCCACACAAAGUUUAUAUUUUACUGAAAGGAUACAUAUACAAAUAAAUCAAUUCUAGGCAAUUUGAGGAUAAGGCGAGUCUUGUCUAUAUAUGUCCCCCUGGGUAGUCUGGGUAGUCUAAAUGUGGCUCCUAGGCUGGCUUCCAACCCAAAGAGCAAGAGAAGGGGCCGUGCGACUGACUGGUCACUCCAGGAAAUCUUUAAAUAAGAAAAAACAUCUGGGGGUACCAGAUGAGAAUUCUGGCUAUUCCUUCCUAAAAAUUGCUGGUUUAAGUGGUAAUUUUUUUGAUUUGAGCUGUUUCCCCAGUAUCUUAUAAAGAGCUUUUAAAAGGAGGCAGCGCCUCAAGCUUACACUGGCAAAUUUGAUUUCUUCCUAACAAAUACUGGUUACACAAAAGAUUAUUAUAAAUAGUGAAUUGCGUGGAAAUCCAGGCAGAUAGCAAAUAAAAAUCAGGGGAGUUCUCUAUUUAGAAUAAACCAGGACAUAGACAAGAGCAAAUAAGCUCUUUAGAUGGGAAUAAGCGAGAUUUAGCCCAGGAGGCAAUUCUCCAAAAUCUUUCCAGAGGCAAGCCAGUAAAUCAGGGACAUGCUGAGUCAUCGACUUCUCUAUAUUUCUGCUGCUUUUCAAAGUCCUCGUGAGACUUCCUAAAAAGUCUGGAACCAUGUGUGUUUCUUUCAAGGAAAUCGAGAAUAUUUCUGUUUUCCAAAGCUCUCAGACCAACACCACCCCUCACACAGGCUCAUUGUGGUCCUUUGUGCUCAAGGAGGACCACAUGGUACCCAGGUCGAGGUACGGUGGGUCUGGCUGUGGCUGAUCAGUCCAGCAUGAGCUUGGAAGGCUCUACCCCAAGUCGGGUACAAAUAGUCCACUCCAACAUCUGGAGUGGGGAUGUCACUAAACUUAUGCAUUGCACGUUCCUUCUGCUCACCAAUUCUCUGAAAGCCGCCCACUCCUUCUCUGCUCCACUUUUGCCAACUGCAUAUUGAUUCAGCUUUCAAGUAAGCAAGAAAUUGCUCCUACUUGGAGAAGUGCGCUAAUCUGUUAACAUUAAGUCUUCUGGUACUCAUCUUUCCUUGAAGCCUCUACUUGCCUUGAAAGCAAUUUUUUCCAGAAGAUCCCAGUUGUUUCCAAAAGAUGCCAGUUGUUUCCAGAAGAUCCCAAUUUCAUUCUGCCCCUGUUUCCAGCCCCUUUUGGCUAGUUCCAUGGGCAGCCAUGCCUGGGAGAGGAUAAGCCAGGGCCAGGAGCAGGAGAGAGAAGCCCAAGGCAGAUGAAGGUCAAAGGGACCAGGGCAGGCCUGCAGUACAUUUACAAAGUCAGGUGAAUCCAACCAGCUCAGGAGGAGCUGGCUGAGGGACUGGCAUUCUGAAAUUCAGGCCCGUUCUCAGUCCCUAUGUCCAAGGGCCCCC
ensembl:lncRNA